rnacentral:pre_miRNA from 1 species
AGUGGGAUAGUUGGGUCAAAGGUGGUUUCAUUCCAAGUUUUCUGAGGAACCUCCAUACUGCUUUUCAUAAUGUUUGCACCAAUUUGCACUCCCACCAACAAU